GAUGAAGAACGUAGCGAAAUGCGAUAAGUAGUGUGAAUUGCAGAAUUCCGUGAAUCAUCGAAUCUUUGAACGCACAUUGCGCCUUCUGGUAUUCCGGAAGGCAUGCCUGUUCGAGAGUCAUUAACAACCGUUUCGAUCCCUUUCUUUCAGAAAUUGCAAAGAGGAAAAGGGUUUGGUUAUGGUGGAGGAGGGAAAGGGAGCGUUUAGCCUGUAAAAAAAGAGGCUGUGUUCCGCCUCCCCCCCAAAAUUGUACAGGCGGUCGUGUGCGCCCACGCAUCGAGGUGUUGUAAAAGCUGCCACGGCACUUUUCACCUGUGCAGUGCGAGAUUGGCCAGCCGGUUUAAAAACCCCUCCAAACAAUCAAAGGUUGACCUCGGAUCAGGUAGGGAUACCCGCUGAACUUAAGCAUAUCAAUAAGCGGAGGA
rnacentral:misc_RNA from 1 species